UACGUAGUGUGCGAGCGUUAAUCGGAAUUACUGGGCGUAAAGCGUGCGCAGGCGGUUCGUUAAGUCAGAUGUGAAAGCCCCGGGCUCAACCUGGGAACUGCAUUUGAAACUGGCGGGCUUGAGUGUGGCAGAGGGGGGUGGAAUUCCGCGUGUAGCAGUGAAAUGCGUAGAGAUGCGGAGGAACACCGAUGGCGAAGGCAGCCCCCUGGGCCAACACUGACGCUCAGGCACGAAAGCGUGGGGAGCAAACAGG
rnacentral:rRNA from 1 species